rnacentral:lncRNA from 1 species
ACUCUUUCCCACUCUCUUUCUUCUCUUUGCACAUACUUUUCUUCUCGCCUCUCCUUCGGAUCUGCGUUAAUGAAAAUAUUUUAUCUUGUACAAGUUUAUAAAGCCUACGGUAGUAAAUUCAGGCGUCCCAGGGCUCAAGGACUGCACUCUUGCGGAUUUCUCUGCCGGGUCUGGUGCUGCAGAUGCAAACCCAGGCCCCGUGAACAAAGCGAUCCGGAGCUGCAAUUCCUCCCUGCUCACUCCUGUGGCUGACUUGCACGCACAGACAUCGCCUCCCCACUUGUUGGCGACUGUUUUCCAUUCUUCCCCCAACAAUUCGUCCUUCUCAAUUCCGAUUAGCUGAGACUGAAGCCCUCUACAAAGGACCUGUGCAGCCCACGGAACAACUCCGCAGUUCUCAGCUUGGAGAAAGGAAGGGGAGAAGGGGUCUUCUGGCCCACCAAGUCGAGGGACAUUGAGGAAGUAAUGAAUCUGUGAUGCGUCCAGAAGAAAAUUCACCCUCUGGGAAAAUGAGCUUCCGUAUUCAUGCUUGGUGUAUCUCCAGCAGUAUCUGCUCUACCUCCAAACAACACUGCAAUUAUUUUUUUUCACCCCGUGGGUGAAAAACCGCUGCCCUAUCUCCCUCAUUUAUUGACUCACACUCCUCCCACAAAACUACAGUGUUGAGGGAUCAGUAACAGAAAUGUUCAAGAAGGCCACACUUGUCUUUAUCACUAAUAUGUGACAUGUAAGAUGGCUUGAAGGAAGUACUGAAAUUAACACCCAGAUGUAAAAGAAUACCCGAAGAUGCCUAGCUGGACAUUGCUAAUACCAACAUUGCAACAGAUCAAUUUGGACAUAAAGCAAACUAUUCAAUAGGGAAGCUAACUAAUAUUCUCUAAUUAGUUAUAAUGAGCAUUUUAAUAGUCUAUGCUGUAUAAAAACAUGUUUAAAUUGAUAUUUAAAAUACACAGCUUCCUAUUCUUUGAAUUAAAUAUUUAAUGUUAUUUUUCCUUAUAGACAAAAAGUUACCUUGAGUCUGCUGGUUUUACAAAAUGAAUUGAAAAUGGAAAUAAAUGUUCCCGUUUAGGCCCCAUUUAAGAGUCACUAGAUUUAGUGUUUAGCUUUUAAUAAAAAUUAUUGCACCCUCUAAUUGGCUGUAAAUUAGGUCCUGUUCUCAUAUUUUACAUCUGUAGAUACCGACAGUUCUUAAACAGUGGAAAUUUUGUGCACAUUCAUAUAAUCUGCUGAAAGUAUAAACAAUGAAAAACGUGGCUGGAAUUUAUUCAUAUUUUUGUACUGACAGAUGAGGCAUUUCAGUUUCAGCUGAAUGAAAGGAUUUUUAAUGGAUUAAUUUAAAGCCAGCACUGGAAUUAUGCAAAAAGAAAUAUGCUAUUGAAAAAUUAAAAAAAGUAUUAGCAUUAGGAAUGAACCCUGCAUUUAAACACAUGAGCAAAAGUUUGACAAGAAGUUAUGACUUUUCAGCAUGACUUUUGGUUUGGUUUUGUCUUCACUUUAAAUUGCGUAAACUAUUGUGUCCUUUAAAAAGUGUAUCAUAAACAAUUAAGAAAAAAUAAAAAAAAUGAAACAGCUUAGGGUUUUUCCCACUUCAAUAUAGAAUUCUUAAAAUUUAUUUCAAAUACAAUAAUCAUACUGGAAUAUAUUUCCAAGCUGAAUUUUCAGAAAUAGUCAAACGAGAAUCCUCAAGUAAAAGGCUAAAGAGUAGUCAUCAUGAGAGGAACUCUACCAAAACACUUAACAUGUUUUGGAAUUUCCAAAUUCAGUCACAUGAAGAAAAGGGAAUGGAAAAAAAAAAAACCUAUCGCAGGCCAUGCAUAACAGGUGAUGUAAAUUUAGAAUAACUAGCAUUUCUAGAAAGUCUUGUGCUUUUUAAUGUUCACCUCUAGUCUUCAGUGCGGGUUCCUUCUCAAAUUACAUAAAAUGUACUUUAAGAAGCACUCACUACCUGCUACAGAUGUCCAGGAAAACUGAAUUAUGGAAGUCGGAAACAUAUGGCAGUUGCCUAUUGCACAAGGAAGGUACAUAUGAAAGUUAUAAAUUUCUUUCUUUAAGUCAGAAUUGUAAACGCAUUUUAUAGGGUUCACAGUAUGUAUUACAUCUGUAGAUUUAAUUUUUGAAAUAUAUGUUUUUUGAGAUAUUUGUGGUUUGAGAUUCUAAGAUAAAUAACUUAUCUUGUUGUAUUUUUAAAAAUCAAGAAAAAAACCCUAACAAAUAAAAAUAAAUAUGUGGAGUGGCAAACAUUUUUCUUUUAUUUCUCAGCUUGUUAUACUGAAAAGGACAUCAGGCCAUCUAUUGGCAAAUAAUUACUCACAACACGGGAGGUACCUGUCAGCAGGGCGUGCUGUAUAUUGAAUUCCCUAUACGAAGAAGCAGAGAUAUCAAUUGAGGAAAGCCAGCUUGGGGAUGAUAUAAAAACCAUCAGAUUAAGAUCUGGACCAUGCAAAUGUCAAAAACACACCAAUUAAACUUGCUUUUGAGAAAAAAUUCCAAGUGCUUGCUGAUUUAUUUUCCAUCAAAAUAUUCAAUUUAUUUCAUUUAACACGUUUGAAACCACAUUUUGAUUGCAAUAAUAAUGUAAUACUACAUACUCAGUAUUAUCAAUGGAUAUCAAGUACUAUCAACUACCAAAACAUCUUCCCUUCACCUUCAAAGUGAUUAAAAAAAAAUCACUCUAAUUUUCUACCUGUAGCACCCUGUUAUCUUUAAAUUUACAUUUAAUUUUGUAGAUUUUAAGAGUCAGAGCUCUCUUGUUUCAGUUUAUUUGGAGAAAUUUGUGAAGCAAGUUAUCUAAAUGGUCUUGGUCAAAAAUGGGUUCAAACAAAUAAAUACCCUGAAAGUAGGCAGGUGCCUACAGGUAAGUUCGCUGUGAGUUCGCUUCAAGAAAACCAUCUUUAGAUUUCCAUCGUGGAGGCAUAGGGAAACACUCAAGAUUGGUCUCCACUUUGUUGUAGAAGAAUGAAACGGAUUUGAGGGGAGAAUAAUGUAAAAUUACAGCAAAUGUUCCCUACCCAGGCAGAAGUUUUAUUUGGUUGUGUUUUGAAUUUCCCCUUUGCGAUCAAUCGAGUGGUCGCCAGUAUUGGUUUUCUCUUCUUUCCCAGUUCCUGCUUUGCCCAGGGCUCCCCCUGGCCAGGCUUUGGAUCACUUGGUCUCUGUGAGACAGUGAGGAAUCGAGCGUUUCAUAUUAUGGGUUUCCAGAAAGACGUGGGAGACGAAUGAGGCGCAGAAAAACUUAUCAGCUUCU